rnacentral:misc_RNA from 1 species
UCUCCGUAGGUGAACCUGCGAAAGGAUCAUUAUUGUAUAACCGAGGUGCGAGGGCUGUCGCUGACCCGAAAGGUCGUGCACGCCCGAGUGCCCUCACACACAUCCAUCUCACCCCUAUGUGCACCACCGCGUGGGUCCCCCUUUGGCUUGUUCGGAGGGGGGCUUACGUUUUCACACAAACUUUGUAUGCAGUGUAGAAUGUAUUUUUUGUUUUUGCGAUCACGCAAUCAAUACAACUUUCAACAACGGAUCUCUUGGCUCUC